GACCAGACUCCUACGGGAGGCAGCAGUGAGGAAUAUUGGUCAAUGGGCGAGAGCCUGAACCAGCCAAGUCGCGUGAGGGAGUACUGCCCUAUGGGUUGUAAACCUCUUUUGUCGGGGAGCAAAAGCCGGACGUGUCCGUCUGUGAGAGUACCCGAAGAAAAAGCAUCGGCUAACUCCGUGCCAGCAGCCGCGGUAAUACGGAGGAUGCGAGCGUUAUCCGGAUUUAUUGGUUUUAAAGGGUGCGCAGGCGGAAGAUCAAGACAGCGGUAAAAUGGAGAGGCUCACCCUCUCCGAGCCGUUGAUACUGGUUUUCUUGAGUGAGCGAGAAGUAUGCGGAAUGCGUGGUGUAGCGGUGAAAUGCAUAGAUAUCACGCAGAACUCCGAUUGCGAAGGCAGCAUACCGGCGCUCAACUGACGCCCAUGCACGAAAGUGUGGGUAUCGAACAGGAUUAGAUACCCGGGUAGGC
rnacentral:rRNA from 1 species